GCGCUGACGAGUGGCGGACGGGUGCGUAACGCGUAGGAAUCUGCCUAUUAGUGGGGGACAACAUGGUGAAAACCAUGCUAAUACCGCAUACGCCCUACGGGGGAAAGCGGGGGAUCUUCGGACCUCGCGCUAAUAGAUGAGCCUGCGUUAGAUUAGCUUGUUGGUGGGGUAAAGGCCUACCAAGGCGACGAUCUAUAGCUGUUCUGAGAGGAAGAUCAGCCACACUGGGACUGAGACACGGCCCAGACUCC
rnacentral:rRNA from 1 species